AGCUGAUGCACAUGGUGGCUUUCCUCCCAGUUCCACCGCAGCAGCUGUUCCCCUCUGGAGGUUCAUUUUUGACCUUCACACUUCAAAGGGCCCUGGAGCGAUCCGGUGGCCCUCUUUU
rnacentral:sRNA from 1 species